GUACUGUGUAGUAUCAGGUUAAGUACUGUGUAGUACUGUGUAGUAUUGGGUUAAGUACUGUGUAGUAUUGGGUUAAGUACUGUGUAGUAUUGGGUUAAGUACUGUGUAGUAUCAGGUUAAGUACUGUGUAGUACUGUGUAGUAUCAGGUUAAGUACUGUGUAGUAUCAGGUUAAGUACUGUGUAGUACUGUGUAGUAUUAGGUUAAGUACUGUGUAGUAUUGGGUUAAGUACUGUGUAGUAUCAGGUUAAGUACUGUGUAGUAUCAGGUUAAGUACUGUGUAGUACUGUGUAGUAUUGGGUUAAGUACUGU